GGUUGGUAAUCGCGCGUGGAGUGCAAAGGCACAAGGGAGCUUGACUGUGAGAUCGACGGAUCGAACAGGUGCGAAAGCAGGGCUUAGUGAUCCGGCGGUUCCAAGUGGAAGGGCCGUCGCUUAACGGAUAAAAGGUACCCCGGGGAUAACAGGCUGAUCCUCCCCGAGAGUUCACAUCGACGGGAGGGUUUGGCACCUCGAUGUCGGCUCAUCGCAUCCUGGGGCUGAAGAAGGUCCCAAGGGUUUGGCUGUUCGCCAAUUAAAGCGGUACGUGAGCUGGGUUUAGAACGUCGUGAGACAGUUCGGUCCCUAUCCGUCGUGGGCGCAGGAGACUUGAGGGAAGCUGUCCUUCGUACGAGAGGACUGGGAUGGACAAACCUCUGGUGUACCGGUUGUCGCGCCAGCGGCAUCGCCGGGUAGCUAUGUUUGGAACGGAUAAGCGCUGAAAGCAUCUAAGCGCGAAGCCGAUCCCAAGAUGAGGUCUCCCGCGGAAUAAUCCGCCUAAAGGCCCCUUCGAGACGAGGAGGUUGAUAGGCCGGAGGUGUACGCACAGUAAUGUGUUUAGCUGACCGGUACUAAUAGGCCGUGCGGCUUGACCGG
rnacentral:rRNA from 1 species